UAUGGUCAAACCACACUGAAAACACUGAUUUGCAUUUGAUCACCAAAGUUAAGCAGUGUUAAGCGUGGUCAGUGCUUAGAUGGGUGACCACUUGUGAAUUCCGGGCACUGUA